GAGCCCUCACUCUUUCUUGCAGACUGUGAUGCCACCUUGUAGCCUGCGGCUGUGGAAACACAGUCCUAUCCUGGGUUCUCUGUGCCCUGAAGUGCAGUUGCACCUCUGCUGGGGUUUGGUCAGGCACUGGCAAAGGCUACUUGCUGGCCUUGUGUUUGCUGCCCCUCAGCGAGACCGUGUGUUCUAGUGGAAGUAGACUUAGAGGGAAUUGGAAUCAUGUCUUUGUGAAUCGAGUGUGAAGUCCUCGGGCCUAAGGUGCUACUUGGUCCUAAUGUUUUGGAGUGCUUUUCUGUUGUUGUUACUCCAUUGUUACUUACUCUGUCCUAUGACACUGGGGGAGACUGCUCGCUUGGGUGUGGUGUCGCUUACACCGAAAACAUAGGACUCCAGCUUUGACGUGCCCAUGGUGUGACUUUCAUCUCUGACCUUCUCAAGUCAGGGAUGGUGCCUAGUCUAAUAAAAUCCUUCCUCCCUGUCAAGCCAUUGCUUUGGUUGGUUUCAACAGGGGAAGUAGUCCAGUCUGGUUUUUCUGUUUUUUUUUUUUUUUUUAAUUGCAUAGAAAAGGCCGUUGCCUGUGCAGACUGCAGACGGAUAACACAUUUAGCAAAUUUGGUUCCUCUUCAAAGCCAAAUAGACCUAUGUGAUUAAACUCCAAGAGGGUACAAUUCAGCAUUAAAUUAAAAUCUGAGUCAUGAGUUUGAGAGAGGGAAUUUCAGUAUAGUUGAUAACGUUAUGAAUUCAUGUUUUAUAAUUGUAGAGGCAAGUGAGUAUUUAAAAAAAUGUAAGAGAAUAAUUGUAAGUUUCUGUGCAACAAUUCAGCUACUGCCUCAUAAAUACAGGAAGAGACCAUAGCCCCGAAUCUCGACCCUCUUACCUCCCGUUCCACUUCAGAUUGCCUGCCUAAUAUGUAUUUUGAGGGGUUUUAACCCUUGGUUUUAUCAAAUUUUCUAGUUUUAUUUUAUUUUUAUAAAAUAAUUGAGAAAGAACCAAAAAUGAAUUCAGAAGUUCCCCAGUGGCUCCUACCCCAGUCUUAAUUUCCUCCCACACUCAAACGUUUCAGAAGACAUUUUGAACCAAAAUGUAUUCCAUCCAUUUACCAUUUGCUACUUUCUGAGAAGUGGAGCGGCUACCAAGGCCUGUUUCAGGUGGUACUCUGUAUGUCAUGGACCUGUCUGUACCUGUGCAGUGGAUCUGUGUGAUGACGUCUUGUGCUUGCGGUUUAGAAACCACACAGUGCUGUGUUGUAAAUUGACAGUUUCUGUGUAAACUAUUAUUUAUAACCCUUGGCCCAUCUGUAUAAUUUUUCAUUUGCUACAUGGAUUGUAUAAUUAAUUAUAAAAUUAUAGUAUCUGCUAAACCCAAUUCUGAGGCUUCAUGUCAUUGUCUUUGGUUUGAUACCAGUCUGAGUCGUGAGGAUGCGCAGGCCUUGCACAAUACCAGUAGUGAUGUCGCCUGAAACUAAGCCUUAAUCAGAUAGUGAAUUUGUGCAUUUCAGAGUAUGCAAAAAACAAACAAACAAACAAAACAGAGUUUCAACUGUCAAGAUGCUCAACCCUAACUCUAACGUGUUCCCUCCGGAGUGAAGAGUGGGGAGUGAAGAGUGGAGUGAAAAGGGGCCGUUACCAGGGUUAUUUACUCUCCCUCUCGCCUGAGCUCUCCCAGGUGGCUUGAUGAAACCAAUCCUGUGCGUUUCUGUGGCAGUCUAUCUGGAGACCUUUGCA
rnacentral:lncRNA from 1 species